rnacentral:rRNA from 1 species
AGCUCCAAUAGCGUAUAUUAAAGUUGUUGCAGUUAAAAAGCUCGUAGUUGAAUUUUGGGUUUGGUUGUGUGGUCUUUUCGUAUGAAUUGUACUACUACGAUCGAAUCUUUCCUUCUGGCAAACUAUUGUGUUAUUCAUUUAAUGCGAUAGGGAACCAGGACUUUUACUUUGAAAAAAUUAGAGUGUUUAAAGCAGGCUUACGCUUGAAUACAUUAGCAUGGAAUAAUAAAAUAGGACUUUGGUUUUAUUUUGUUGGUUUUCAAGACCGAAGUAAUGAUUAAUAGGGUCAGUUGGGGACAUUAGUAUUUAUUCGUCAGAGGUGAAAUUCUUGGAUUGAAUAAAGACUAACUUCUGCGAAAGCAUUUGUCAAGGAUGUUUUCA